GAUGAACGCUAGCGGCAGGCCUAGUACAUGCAAGUCGAACGGUAACAUGAGUAGCAAUACUUGAUGACGAGUGGCGCACGGGUGCGUAACACGUAUGUAAUCUUCCCACAACUGGGGGAUAGCCCGGAGAAAUCCGGAUUAAUACCCCAUAACCCAGCGAGGUGGCAUCACCUUUCUGGUAAAUCUCCGGAGGUUGUGGAUGAACAUGCGUCCGAUUAGCUAGUUGGCGGGGUAACGGCCCACCAAGGCUACGAUCGGUAGGGGUACUGAGAGGUUAAACCCCCACACUGGUACUGAGACACGGACCAGACUCCUACGGGAGGCAGCAGUAAGGAAUAUUGGACAAUGGAGGCAACUCUGAUCCAGCCAUGCCGCGUGAAGGAUGAAGGCGCUAUGCGUUGUAAACUUCUUUUGAACGGGAAAAAACCCCUUUACGUGUAAAGGGUUGAUUGUACCGUUAGAAUAAGGGUCGGCUAACUUCGUGCCAGCAGCCGCUGUAACAC
rnacentral:rRNA from 1 species